UACAGAGGUCUCAAGCGUUGUUCGGAUUCAUUGGGCGUAAAGGGUGCGUAGGCGGCGCGGUAAGUCGGGUGUGAAAUCUCGGGGCUUAACUCCGAAACUGCAUUCGAUACUGCCGUGCUUGAGGACUGGAGAGGAGACGUGGAAUUUACGGUGUAGCGGUGAAAUGCGUAGAUAUCGUAAGGAAGACCCAGUGGCGAAGGCGGGUCUCUGGACAGUUC
rnacentral:rRNA from 1 species